rnacentral:piRNA from 1 species
UNGGAAAACCCUGGUUCAGAAGUUCAGAUG